rnacentral:rRNA from 1 species
AGAGUUUGAUCAUGGCUCAGGAUGAACGCUAGCGGCAGGCUUAAUACAUGCAAGUCGAGGGGCAGCAUAGUGUAGCAAUACAUGGGUGGCGACCGGCAAACGGGUGCGGAACACGUACAGAACCUUCCUUCGAGCGGGGAAUAGCCCAGAGAAAUUUGGAUUAAUACCCCAUAGUAUAUUGUGGUGGCAUCACUAUAAUAUUAAAGAUUUAUCACUUGAAGAUGGCUGUGCGUCUGAUUAGGUAGUUGGUGGGGUAACGGCCCACCAAGCCAGCGAUCAGUAACUGGUGUGAGAGCACGACCAGUCACACGGGCACUGAGACACGGGCCCGACUCCUACGGGAGGCAGCAGUAAGGAAUAUUGGUCAAUGGACGCAAGUCUGAACCAGCCAUGCCGCGUGGAGGAUGAAGGUCCUCUGGAUUGUAAACUUCUUUUAUCUGGGACGAAAAAGGGUCUUUCUAGAUCAACUGACGGUACCAGAUGAAUAAGCACCGGCUAACUCCGUGCCAGCAGCCGCGGUAAUACGGAGGGUGCAAGCGUUAUCCGGAUUCACUGGGUUUAAAGGGUGCGUAGGCGGGCAUGUAAGUCCGUGGUGAAAUCUCCGAGCUUAACUCGGAAACUGCCAUGGAUACUAUGUGUCUUGAAUGUUGUGGAGGUGAGCGGAAUAUGUCAUGUAGCGGUGAAAUGCUUAGAUAUGACAUAGAACACCAAUUGCGAAGGC